rnacentral:rRNA from 1 species
UACGUAGGGGGCAAGCGUUGUCCGGAAUCAUUGGGCGUAAAGAGCGUGUAGGCGGCUCGGUAAGUCCGCUGUGAAAGUCCAGGGCUCAACCCUGGAAUGCCGGUGGAAACUGUCGAGCUAGAGUCCGGAAGGGGCGAGUGGAAUUCCUGGUGUAGCGGUGAAAUGCGCAGAUAUCAGGAGGAACACCAAUGGCGAAGGCAGCUCGCUGGGACGGUACUGACGCUGAGACGCGAAAGCGUGGGGAGCAAACAGG